CUGCCAUAAAACGCUUGAGUAGGCAAUAAAAAAAGAAAAUAUAAGCAAACGAUAAUAAGUGAAGCUUUUGGUGGAGGAAAAUCGGACUUUUUUGUAUGAUUAUCGAAAAACAUGUUGAUCAAACCAUCCUUUGGUUGUAGCUCUAAAUUGAAAAUACUUGCAUUGUCCAAGUUAUAUGAUCAGCUGAUUUUUGCGUAAGGACGGCUGUAUAAAAUCUGAGGAAAAAUGAAAACCACGACAACUACAGCAAAAAACUGGCUACAAGACGUUAAGUGUUUGAUUGCUAAUCAAAGAUUAUCGAUAUAUUUCAAUAACAAGAAAACACUGUUGAAAUUAAUCUACUCCAAAACAAAACGAAGCUGGAUUGAAAAAAAUAAUUUAUUUUGUUACAAAGAAAAUAUCAAUUACUUUUGAUUGUGACAAGAUAACAUAUAGGAUUAGAGAGUUUUAAGCUUUAAACUAACAUUAACCUUAAGGUAAAAUGGCUGAACAGGAAAGAUCACCAUUGUUAACGCAACAGGACCCAAUGCUCGCCAGUUCCUCGUCUAAAGAGGACCAGUCCCUGGAAGCGUCGCAUGAGAACAAACACCCGCUUGAAUCCGAUACAGCCUUAUUGCUUGAAGAGUUUUCUGAGAAAUCUGUUAAAUUUAAGGUAAAAUUAGAUAUAACCGGUAAAGGUGACUCCUAUGAAAUUUCAGACGUACUAAACCGAAUAUACACGAGUACGGAUCGAUCGAUAACGUUUGACAUAGUUUAUAAGCCUGAGCAUGGCUCCAAUCUAAGCGUAAGAAUCAUGCUUGUCGGGUCGAAUCUUUUAAACCAUCCGUUGGCGCGUUGCUCUUACCAUCGCAAAGGAGACAACACGACGUUCAAAGAUCACGUGGUUCGUCACAAGGAUGCCUCGGCAGAAUACGUCGGAACGGCCACCGGAAUGCUCUACCCGGAACGUCUGGCCAUUCUUGUUCCGCUAGAUCAGUCCGGUCUGAAAAGCAUUUCCUUAGAUUUCGUGUGUCUCAACUCAUGCCACAAAAUUCGCAAGCUCAAACUAGCUCUGGUGUUCACCUUGGAAGAUCAGGACGACAAAAAAAUCGUAGGCCGUCAAAUAUUUCAUCUACAAGUUUCGAAAAACUUCAAACGAGACAUGGAAGUGGCCGAAAAAGGUCCACCUUCAAAACGUCCUGCGACCGAACUGCCAGACGAUACCGCAUCUCCGAACAAGCAAUCGCAUCGAGAGCAAUCAACCUCAGCUCAACCUUCGUCGUCCAGGAUUCCAGCAGCACGCAGCACGGAAGAGCGGCCAGAUUCCAUCGCGAUGAAUUUAAAUUUGCCACACAGUGCUGCGCAAGAGUUUCUACAAUACUCUAGGCAAUUUUUCGAAGCAAAAUUAUACCGAGCUAACGAGCAAGAAAAAAGCGAACUCCUUCCCUGUCUGGACAACAUCUGUAAGGUUUUAGCCCUUCCAGAUUUGAAAUCGGAGGGAAAAAAGGAUGAGCACUAAAAUGUAACAGACCUCAGGGCCCGAGGAACACCACCAGAAAUCAUGAUGAGUUGAGUUUUUCUUCAGUUACACGCAAAACGGACAUUAGGUAUAAAUGCCUAAAUUUUAGGUAUAAUCGAACCUGACUGCAAUAAGAUUACGGGAACAAAAGAGCUAUACUUGCCAACCAGCGUAAUUAUGAGCAGCGGAGCCAAUCCAAAAAAAGACGCAUCGUUAGACCCUCCUGUUCCGGUGAAUGAAAUGGGAAAAGUUAACCUUAACAAGUCGACUCCAGCGGUCGCGAACCAAGGUUCUCAACCUCAGCCGUCCGGAUCGGAACGGAUCGAAAUCCAGCUUCGCAUUCCCGACCAACACAUGGCGAAGCAGAUUAUGGACAAAACCAUCGCACUGUUGCAGAAAACUGCAGACGAAACUGCGGAUCCGAAUGAAAAAGAGCAGGCACUGCAGUGCAUUCAACUCAUUCGACGAGACAAUCCCCAACUUGCUGCCCUUGGCAAGCCUGGCUUCUAAAGCAGAAGCUAAAGGGGAAAGCAGAUUUCAUGAGUUUCUUAAAGGUGCAAAAUUUACGUCAAAAUAUCACAGCAUGAAAAGUAUCCAAUGUGCCCUUCGACGCUAGGCAUGAUCUCACUGAUUGAUCUGGUAUCAGCAUGAGUCAGCUUUUGUUUUAGCUAACGUUUUGCUGAUUUUCAUAUGGUAUUUGUUUUUGAUGAAGUUUUUCAUCGCUUAACUCACAUCUCUUCUGAAUUCAGCUUAAUGUUAAGAAAGAAGCUAUUUUGGUCCCCUGCAAAACUUAUUUUGAUCUCACAAGUUUCAAUGGCCAGUUGCAGCGCAAUUGCAAAUUUGAACAUACAUCAUGUUAUUUCUUGACUUUUCAAGGAAACUAAAGUAGCUGGUGUGGUUUGGAAAUGCCAUUCGAAAGCUGCAACUCAUUGAAUAGAGUCAAAACAGGUUUUGCGGCUCUAGACAUAAAAAAUGGACUUCUUUUAAAAGAAAACUGUCAAAAAAAAUGUUGAAUCAUCCGAAACUGAUGGAGGCUUACAGCUCGAUUGACAGUUUAGGCCCCAUACCUAAAAAUUUCGUUUAUUUGGCACAAAACAAGAAUAUUAAGGAAUUAUUGGGCAUGGAAUUUGUAGAUUGUAGGUUGUUGAGAGAAUGUUCAAAUAUUGCAAAUUAUUUUUGUUUACUCAUGUCACGUCUCAGGAAGAUCAACUCAAACUCCCCGUUUUGGUAAUCUAUGAACAGACUCGUUUUUUUUCUGGCAAUCCGGCUCGAUAUUUCUCACCAGGAUUUUUUACAUAACCAGACAAAAACAAGCUAGAAUCCAAUGUCAACUGAGCUAAACAAGGCCCAUCGCACUAGGAUAUAUUCGGGUCGAUAAGCGUUAUCAUGCCUUGCGUGGAAGGUGUUUGAAGUAACAUAUAAACAAUAACAAUUACGAUCCUAUAAAAAAAAACCUUAGGGAACGUUCAAAUAUUGCGUCCUUUAUAGUAAAAAGGGGGUGCUACUAAAAGAGUACGUGACAAGGACGCAAUAUUUAAAGGUACCGUAAGGUUGGUUCACAUAAAUUUGGUAUACAUUAAAGUUCUGUACAAAACAUAAACAAUUCUAAUCAAUAAAAUCGUGAAAACUGUUAAAA